rnacentral:rRNA from 1 species
CGAAAGCCUGACGGAGCAACGCCGCGUGAGGGAUGAAGGCCUCUGGGCUGUAAACCUCUUUUCUCAAGGAAGAAGAUCUGACGGUACUUGAGGAAUAAGCCACGGCUAAUUCCGUGCCAGCAGCCGCGGUAAUACGGGAGUGGCAAGCGUUAUCCGGAAUCAUUGGGCGUAAAGCGUCCGCAGGCGGCCUUGAAAGUCUGUCGUUAAAGCGUGGAGCUUAACUCCAUUUCAGCGAUGGAAACUACAAGGCUUGAGUGUGGUAGGGGCAGAGGGUAUUCCCGGUGUAGCGGUGAAAUGCGUAGAUAUCGGGAAGAACACCAGUGGCGAAGGCGCUCUGCUGGGCCAUAACUGACGCUCAUGGACGAAAGCCAGGGGAGCG